rnacentral:rRNA from 1 species
CAAUACUGACGCUCAUGCACGAAAAGCGUGGGGAGCAAAACAGGAUUAGAUACCCUGGUAGUCCACGCCCUAAACGAUGUCAAAUAGUUGUUGGGGAUUCAUUUCCUUAGUAACGUAGCUAACGCGUGAAGUUGACCGCCUGGGGAGUACGGUCGCAAGAUUAAAACUCAAAGGAAUUGACGGGGACCCGCACAAGCGGUGGAUGAUGUGGAUUAAUUCGAUGCAACGCGAAAAACCUUACCUACCCUUGACAUGUACGGAAUCCUGCUGAGAGGUGGGAGUGCUCGAAAGAGAACCGUAACACAGGUGCUGCAUGGCUGUCGUCAGCUCGUGUCGUGAGAUGUUGGGUUAAGUCCCGCAACGAGCGCAACCCUUGUCCUUAGUUGCUACGCAAGAGCACUCUAAGGAGACUGCCGGUGACAAACCGGAGGAAGGUGGGGAUGACGUCAAGUCCUCAUGGCCCUUAUGGGUAGGGCUUCACACGUCAUACAAUGGUCGGUACAGAGGGCUGCCAAACCGCGAGGUGGAGCUAACCCCAGAAAACCGAUCGUAGUCCGGAUCGCAGUCUGCAACUCGACUGCGUGAAGCUGGAAUCGCUAGUAAUCGCGGAUCAGCAUGUCGCGGUGAAUACGUUCCCGGGUCUUGUACACACCGCCCGUCACACCAUGGGAGUGGGUUUUGCCAGAAGUAGGUAGCCUAACCGC